UACAGAGGGUGCGAGCGUUGUCCGGAAUCACUGGGCGUAAAGGGCGCGUAGGCGGCCUUCUAAGUCGGACGUGAAAGCCCCAGGCUUAACCUGGGAACUGCGUCCGAUACUGGGAGGCUUGGAUUCGGGAGAGGGAUGUGGAAUUCCAGGUGUAGCGGUGAAAUGCGCAGAUAUCUGGAGGAACACCGGUGGCGAAGGCGGCAUCCUGGACCGACAUCGACGCUGAGGCGCGAAAGCUAGGGGAGCGAACGGG
rnacentral:rRNA from 1 species